rnacentral:lncRNA from 1 species
GUCCGUCUUUCCUAUGGCCCUUGUACCCGUUGAGAGAUCUACAGUACUUGGGUCAGAUUAUUGAAGCACUUCUAUGUCGAUUGCUGAGUCCAGUCGACGGCGAUACCCUCCACUUCACAAUCGGGGGUAAAGUCGCUAGUUUUUUGAUGUUCGAGUUUGCUCUGAUCACGAGAUUAAAGAUUACGGGCGAUGAAGCAGUUGGUGAUGAGAUUUAGAGAAGACAUAGACUUCAUGACGCUUACUUCGAGGGACAGGGAACUAUGCUUCUUACAUAGUUGUUGGACACAAUCAGGAGGUGUGAUCAUAUGUUAGACAGAUUGAAGUUAGGUCUGGUCCACAUUCUUGAGAGCGUGGUGUGGUGUCACCAUAAG